UCGCUUUGGCAGCACAUAUGCUUAGACUGGAACAAUACAGAGAAGAGUAGCAUGUCCCCUGCGCAAGGGUGACACACAAAUUUGUGAAGCAUUCCAUAUCUAU
rnacentral:snRNA from 1 species